rnacentral:tRNA from 1 species
CGGGGUGUGGCUCAGUUGGUAGAGUGCGACGUUCGGGACGUUGAGGCCGCUGGUUCAAGUCCAGUCACUCCGA